UAGAUACAUAUUUCUUGAGCUGAAUAGAGCUAAGUUGGAUUGAAUUGAAUAACAUUGAAUGGUAUUAAAUUGUGAGACUAUGCUUCACUUAUUUAGUGAAGGUUAGCUGUAGAAUGGAAUUAAAAAUUAACCUUAAAAAUAUUCCAUUUUUACCAUGGACACACUUAUUAUUCAAUGAUCAGUUCAUUGCUGUCAUGUUACUUCAUCAUUGUUCUAUAUUAGAAUCCUAGCGGCUAGAGAUAAAUUUACUUUAUUCCUUGGUGAUUCCAUAUUUUACAUACUGAUAUCAAAGUGAUGUGUAUUACACAGCCUACUCCUUAGAAUGAAAGUCAGUGUCCUUCUUGGAGAUUUUCUGGUUUCCAUUUUUGUGUAGUUGAGCUAUAGUUACAUGCAUUUUUGUGGUGAUUAUGUCAGUUCCCUGUAAUAUCAACAACUAAGACCAAAACAUUGUAGAUAGUCAUGGUACUAGAAAUGGAAUAUUCAGUUAUGCAAAGAAACAAAUGAAUGAUAUUUUUUCAUCUCACUACAUAUUCUGACAAACCUGGAGACCAGCUUACAUUUUUAGCAUUUCAGUCCCGCUUCCAUAGGCUUUUAACAGUGAAUCUGUCUACUAUGGUAAAUAAAUAUAUAUAAACCUGUAUAUGUAUAAAUUGAAAUAUUUGUUACAGUUCUCACUUCCCUCUUUCUGUCUCUGACCUUUCAAAAUAAUGUCUUCUUACUUAUGAGACUAUGAAUUCUUUAGAGGAAAAAAAAAUAUCAUCAUACUCAUUCAAAGGCAUAAUGGUUUAUUUGAUAGAAAAAGUUUGUGGUUUGCCCUCUCAAUUUCCACUUUCCUUGUGUCCCUUCCCUUUCCGUGUGUCUACUCUUUUGCUCAGGACCAUCUUCAUUAGCUGCAGCCAUUCGUCUUCCUCAUCCUGGGUCUAUGUCUCUGCACAUCCAUGUCUUUCUUGGCCCUUCCCUUCAUCACUUCCACAUUCUCCAUGAAAAGUUACUUAUUCUUUGCUCCAUUUUCUUAGGUUUCUAAUUUCCUUAUCCUUCACAAAAUUCUCAAAAGAGUUUUCUCUAUGUGCUUAUUUUUCUUCAUCUCCCACUAACUCUCUAACACAUUUCUAGGAUAACUUCUUUCCCAUCAUUUCAGUAGACUGGCUCUUACUGAGGCCAUUGGUGACCUCCAAUGCCAAAGUGUAAAGGACCCUUUUCAGUUACUCUUGGGGCUGAUAUCUCAGCCACAUCCACCAUAAUCAAUUGUUCCCCUUUUCUUUCAACAAUCCUUUCCCUUGGCUUUUUUAUGACCCAAUAUCGCCCUGAACUGAAAUGCCUCAGGAUUCUUUUCUUCUUGUUCUAUACUGUCUCUAUGUGAUCUUCCUACACUCAUGCCUUUUGUUAUAUCUAAAAUUAUAUAUUUAUUCAAAGAGAUGCCUCAUGAUGGGGGGGGGGACAUAGUACAGCCCGAGGCUGGUUGAGCAGAGGAAGUUAAGAUUAUAAAACCAAGAGUAUUAAUGAGGCUUGGUGAUAAAUAAGAAUAAAAACUUUUUGAAAUGAUGACAAACAGGAAUAGCAUCCAAGAUGGAUAAAGAGUAAGGAGAUAAAGGAAGAAAAGGAGAAAGGAUGGCAGAGAGUGUGGAAACAGGAGGAGGGAGGUAGUGGGAUUUACAUUGCCUUUUGCCUCUCUCUUGCUGUCCCACACAAUUUGCCGCCCAUGAGCUCUAAGAAGAGCUGAUAAUUAGAGACGAGGACCAAACACAGGUAGGCUAGGUAAGUGGAGAACAGUGAUAAAGACUUAAAAGAAGAUGAUAUGAUCAAGAAUCUACAAAAAGGGAGGGAAACAAACCCAAUUCAACUUGUGGCAAGAGUGUCUGCAACAGAAAAAGGGUAUCUCUGCUGGAGUAUCCAAUUACAUGUGAGAAAUAAAUUGCAUGUUAAUGAAGGUAAUGCUAGCAGUUGCAACAAAUAAAUUCCCAAGAUGUAUAAUGGCUCAUGCAGGGGGGAAAGUUAUUUCUUACGUAUGUAAACACCAAAGCAAGUGUUCCUGACUGGACAGCUCCCUCCAAAAAGGAACUCAUGCUUCUUUAUAUUUUGGCUUCUCCAGUUUAGAACAUGACAUCCAAGUUCACUGUGCCCAUCUGCCUCAAGCCAGCAAAAGACCCCAGAGUGUUGAGGUUCAUACCUGGGAAGAUGUUGUGGGCCAAGUGUGGAAGUGGAACACAUUUCAAUGACCAAAACUCAGUUACAUGUCUGAACCUAACUGCAAGGAAGACUGGGAAAUACGAUCUGAUCAUAUGCCCCAGAGAGAAAAGAAAAAGUCUUAUUGAACAGCUAGUAAGUCUCUGACAUACAUGGUAAAAUGAGAAUGCAUAUGCUUCUAAGAAGAGUGCACUUUAGAAUAAUGCAUCAGUAGCCAAUGAUUUAUUUGCAACCAAAGCACAAUUUAAAUCAACGGGUGAUGGCCUGUUGGGAUGCUAUGAUGAAAAUGGGUCCAUGGAGCCCAUUUAUAAAUAAAAUAUAUUCUUGAAAUCGAGGGAUUCCACAAAGUUCUAUCUUAAACCUUGGUACAAAACAGCAUGUCAAGUUUGAUAUGUUCCCUAUUAUCCAUCAUACGGUAUCACUGGGUGUGCAGGAAUAUUUGGUGGUGUGCCUUUCUUUGUGUUUCCCAAUUUCAGUGCCCCCCCAAAAUAGCCCAUUAACUUCUAAAACAAUGGCUCUCCAUCCCCAAGAUUUCAGAUUUCUUUGCACCUCAGAGCCACAUCUGUCAAUGGAUUAACUGAGAAACAAAGAAAGCACCAGGCAUUCGUUAGCUCUAGAAGGAAAUUUACCAGGCCACUUGUGCAAUCACAAAUGCCAUCAUUCUCCUAGGGUGAUAGAAGAUCAUUUGAAACCAGUUUCUCACUAACUGAGAUGACAAUAAAAACAAGUUAGCCCUGCUGGCUAAUUUUCUCUUUUAUGUGUAUUUUUGGUCAUGAGGCAUUAACCUUUCCCAGUACAUAAUAACAUUUUGGAAUUAUACAUGGUAGACAUAUACAACUGUAGGUAUGCAUUUAUUGCAAGUGGCUUCCAUAUUUUUUUAGAUGAGCAGUGGGCUAGCAUGCCCUGCACAGAGAAAGUGCUGAAGAGAUAUUUGUUGAGUGAGUUAAGACUUAGUAUGGCAUGGUAUAUCUUUCACUGGUGAGGACAUAGAUUGGAGCAUUUAUUUGUAUAUAUCUCUAAAUGUAGUAAAAUUCAUAUGCAAAGAUCUUUGGUACUUUUUUUGUAUGUAUAAACUGUAUUUACUAAAAUAAAGUUGAUCUUUCUUAAUAUUAAAACAUAGAAAUAAUGAAAGGGAGGAAAGUCCAGAAAUGAGGAGUUCAAUGACAAAGGGAAACAAUGCUUACACAUUCUAAGAUAGCCUUAUCUUGCAAUUAUUCAUUUCUUCAUUCAAUAAGUCUUUCAAGGUUCUAUAAGACCUUGUUAAUCAAAGUGAGGUUUGCAGAGCAGCUUCAGAGGCAACACUUAGGGCUUGUUAACAAUGGGACCCAACUCAGAUUUCCCAAAUCUGGCCUCUAGUGGGUAGAAGCCAAGGAUACUGUUAAGCAUCCUACAACACAAAGGACAGUCCCCACAACAGGGAAUUACCUGCCCAAAAUGUCAAUGGAGCACUGGUGAGAAGCUAAAACUUUUGUAUGUAUUAGAAUAACCUAGAAGGUUUACUGAAGUGCAGGUUGCUGGGCUCACCCCAAAGUUUCUGAUUAUAGAUCUAGCAUGAAGCCUGAGAAUUUGUGUUUCUCGUAAGUCCCUAGCUAGUUCCACUCCUGAAGCCAUACUUUGAGAAACACUGGAGAUGCUAGGGCCUUUUGCAGUUAGCCUCUUGAUGGCUCUGGAAACCCCUGGCAAGUAACUAGAGCCUGAGGUGCCUCCAUAGCUAUAAGCUGAGGACAAAGAAGCUGAGGGUUGCUUGAGGUAGGAGUGAGGGGUGCAGACAGGGCUGAGUCAACAGAGAAGAUACAGUGCCAUUGUCAUUUACAGAUGAUACCAGAUGGCAGCUAAAUUCAGAGUCCAGACUGCCUGAAGGGCUUGCUAAUUACAAGAGACUUCAGCUGCAGGAAACACCCUAAUCACCCCAAUGGCAGCUGGGCAGCCCCAGGGAAGGCCCGACUGCCAGUAAAAAUUUUUGUUUCGUAUAAAGUAGGACUUGAAGGGUAAAAUGACAAGUUCAAUUUGGACCAUAUUUAACAGAGAAGAGAGGGAGAGGAAAAUAUAUUUAUGAUGGGGGUAGUAGGGAGUAAACAAGGAGGACAGCUUUAUUAGAGAGGACUCAGCACGGAAGACCAUAAGCAGCUGGAGCCCAGACUGGGCCCCCGAGAACCCCUCCCCCACAAAUGUCCCAGGCUUCCUUGCGCACCACACCCUGUAGGUUGGCCAGGGGCGAUUCUACAACAGACUUGGAGAUGGAUUUUUGUGGUUCUUACUUACACCUGCUCUAUGCUGUCUACCUCUUGUCAUCCCUUUCCAAAAAAAAGCUAUUGAUUUAACACCUUUAGGGAGGAAGGAAGACAUCUUCUGCUUUGUUUAAUCAGCUAACUGCCUUUCUUUGGUUGGCAAGGAGCACUAAGAUAAUUUUGUUCCAUGGGCAGCGUUUAGCAAAGCCCCAGGACUGUGAAUGAGGAAAAAGCAGCAGGGAGGGAAAAACUACCCGAGCAGCUGUUUCUGGGCUCCACCCCAAGUCAUGGGGCUCCAGCCAAGUUCAGGAUAUUCUCCUCUGCUGGAAAUUUUAGCAACAUUUCCAUGAAUUGGGAGGGAACUGGAGAAAUGCACCUAAAAUAAAGUUGUUUACAGUUUAAUAUCGUGAGAUACAAGAUUCUUAAAUAGACUUUCUGUUGAAACUUGAUUUUACAACAAACAACAACAAGAAAAAAAAAUAGGAGGAAUGGAAUCCCAAGUGCAUUCACAUUUGAAAAUCAUGUUGGUCGUUAUUUUGUGCCUCUUUUUUGCAUCCUCAAUUUUGCAAAGGGUGUAGAAAGAGGCACAGUCCAUUUCCAGGGAGAAAGCAUUAAUUUACAGUGCUUCUCAGUUUCCUUUGCCCCUCUGGGCCCCUUUGGGUGCAUGCCCAAUGCCCUACAGCUGUUUUUUGUCUCUGUCCCAUUUUCCUCUUCUUUGCGAUACCACCCAGAUUCUAGUCACACCCUUCAAUCCCAGGAAGGUGGAACUGAGAUGUCUAUGCAGGCUUGCUCACAGGCUCCCAUCUUUCAGAUUCUCCAUAACGUGACUCUGUCAACCAAACUAAGCUUUCUCUUUUAACUUGGAGCCAUUAAUUCAUAGCUCAUGCAUAUGCUACAAGUUUUCUUUCCAACUAAUGUGAUGAACAGUUCCUGGACAAGAAUGUAGAAGUCACAACUCUGUCUUAACCAGUUAGAUGAAUAAAC
rnacentral:lncRNA from 1 species